UACAGAGGGUGCAAGCGUUGUUCGGAAUUAUUGGGCGUAAAGGGCGCGUAGGCGGUGCGGUAAGUCUGCGGUGAAAUCUCCCGGCUCAACUGGGAGGCUGCCGUGGAAACUGCCGUGCUUGAGUGUGGGAGAGGUGAGUGGAAUUCCCGGUGUAGCGGUGAAAUGCGUAGAUAUCAGGAGGAACACCUGUGGCGAAAGCGGCUCACUGGACCAUAACUGACGCUGAUGCACGAAAGCUAGGGGAGCAAACAGG
rnacentral:rRNA from 1 species